GGAGAGAUGCAAGAGUGGCUUAAUUGGCACGCCUGGAAAGCGUGUGUACCUGCAAGGGUACCGUGGGUUCGAAUCCCACUCUCUCCG
rnacentral:tRNA from 2 species